rnacentral:rRNA from 2 species
GAUUCGUCACACUAUCAUUAACUGAAUCCAUAGGUUAAUGAGGCGAACCGGGGGAACUGAAACAUCUAAGUACCCCGAGGAAAAGAAAUCAACCGAGAUUCCCCCAGUAGCGGCGAGCGAACGGGGAGGAGCCCAGAGCCUGAAUCAGCAUGUGUGUUAGUGGAAGCGUCUGGAAAGGCGCGCGAUACAGGGUGACAGCCCCGUACACAAAAGCGCAUAUGCUGUGAGCUCGAUGAGUAGGGCGGGACACGUGGUAUCCUGUCUGAAUAUGGGGGGACCAUCCUCCAAGGCUAAAUACUCCUGACUGACCGAUAGUGAACCAGUACCGUGAGGGAAAGGCGAAAAGAACCCCGGCGAGGGGAGUGAAAAAGAACCUGAAACCGUGUACGUACAAGCAGUGGGAGCACCCUUUGGGGUGUGACUGCGUACCUUUUGUAUAAUGGGUCAGCGACUUAUAUUCUGUAGCAAGGUUAACCGAAUAGGGGAGC